GGGGAAUAUUGCACAAUGGGCGAAAGCCUGAUGCAGCAACGCCGCGUGAGUGAUGACGGUCUUCGGAUUGUAAAGCUCCGUCUUCAGGGACGAUAAUGACGGUACCUGAGGAGGAAGCCACGGCUAACUACGUGCCAGCAGCCGCGGUAAUACGUAGGUGGCAAGCGUUGUCCGGAAUUACUGGGCGUAAAGGGUGCGCAGGCGGACAUUUAAGUGAGAUGUGAAAGACCCGGGCUUAACUUGGGCAGUGCAUUUCAAACUGGAUGUCUGGAGUGCAGGAGAGGAGAACGGAAUUCCUAGUGUAGCGGUGAAAUGCGUAGAGAUGUGGAGGAACACCAGUGGCGAAGGCGGCUCUCUGGUCUGUAACUGACGCUGAGGCGCGAAAGCGUGGGGAGCAAAC
rnacentral:rRNA from 1 species